CAGAAAUUGAACACCAUACUCCACUUUCAAAUUAUUUUUCAAAAAUAAAAUAAAUAUACUAUUCUACCAAAUCUAAACAUCGAGAUAUUUUAAAUUUUUUUUAAAAAAUAAUUUUUUUCUUAACAAUCACAAUGAAAAAAAAACUUAAAUGUCUCCAAGUUGUCACCCCUAGAGAUAUCAACGGGUUGGAUUAAGGGCGGAUUUUAAAAAUCCGAAUCCAAACCCAACUACAAACCUAAAAUCCGAACCUUAAUCAAAAUCCGACAGAUUUUAAAAAUCUAUAUCCAAACUCGAACUCAAGCAAAAAUUCGAAAUCCGAACCCCAAUCCGAAAACUAACCCAAAAUUAUUAUUUCUCUUUACCAUAUUUCAAAAUAUAUUAUAUUAAAUCUAAAUUUUUAAAAUAUAAAUUCAAAUAUAGCAUCAAAUAUUUAUAUACGUAUAUUAUAUAGUGCAAAUUUAAUUUGGAUUCAGGCCAAAUAUAGAUAAAAUUUAUACCCGAAUCCAAAUUUGUCAUAUUUUUAUUUUUAUUUGUUUUAUAUCUCUUUGAAAUUAAGUAAAUCCACUUUGUU
rnacentral:lncRNA from 1 species